GAUCUAGCCAUGGGCAGGUUGAAGGUUGGGUAACACUAACUGGAGGACCGAACCGACUAAUGUUGAAAAAUUAGCGGAUGACCUGUGGCUGGGGGUGAAAGGCCAAUCAAACCGGGAGAUAGCUGGUUCUCCCCGAAAGCUAUUUAGGUAGCGCCUCGUGAAUUCAUCUCCGGGGGUAGAGCACUGUUUCGGCUAGGGGGCCAUCCCGGCUUACCAACCCGAUGCAAACUGCGAAUACCGGAGAAUGUUAUCACGGGAGACACACGGCGGGUGCUAACGUCCGUCGUGAAGAGGGAAACAACCCAGACCGCCAGCUAAGGUCCCAAAGUCAUGGUUAAGUGGGAAACGAUGUGGGAAGGCCCAGACAGCCAGGAUGUUGGCUUAGAAGCAGCCAUCAUUUAAAGAAAGCGUAAUAGCUCACUGGUCGAGUCGGCCUGCGCGGAAGAUGUAACGGGGCUAAACCAUGCACCGAAGCUGCGGCAGCGACACUCAGGUGUUGUUGGGUAGGGGAGCGUUCUGUAAGCCUGCGAAGGUGGCCUGUGAGGGUUGCUGGAGGUAUCAGAAGUGCGAAUGCUGACAUAAGUAACGAUAAAGCGGGUGAAAAGCCCGCUCGCCGGAAGACCAAGGGUUCCUGUCCAACGUUAAUCGGGGCAGGGUGAGUCGACCCCUAAGGCGAGGCCGAAAGGCGUAGUCGAUGGGAAACGGGUUAAUAUUCCCGUACUUGGUGUUACUGCGAAGGGGGGACGGAGAAGGCUAUGUUGGCCGGGCGACGGUUGUCCCGGUUUAAGCGUGUAGGUGUGUGUUCCAGGUAAAUCCGGUU
rnacentral:rRNA from 1 species